UUUUAAAUUAAAUCUCUUUGCAAUUUACAGAUCAUGUACGUGAAUUCAAUUGCGGUAAACUUUACUAUCGGACUUUUCAAUUGGACGAUGAGCGGGACUCGCUUUAUGUGGGAGCCAUGGAUCGCAUAUUUCGUUUAAGCCUGAAAAAUAUAUCAUCAUCAACAUGUGAUCGUGAUGUGAUUAAUUUGGAGCCAACACGAGAUGAUGUUGUUAGCUGUGUAUCAAAAGGCAAAAGUCAGGUAAAAGUUAGAACCUUUGUGUGUGUAGUGUAUAUUUCUAAAAAAAUUGAUAAAAAAAAAAAAUAAAUAAAUAAAAAUACAUAUCAAAUCAUACAACAGCGUAUCUACGUGAGCACAUCAUCACUAUCAUCCUUAUUUUCUCCGUCAUCGUGUGAACUUAUAUGCGCGCACACGUUAAGUAUCAUCCAAUGCAUAAUAAAACAAUUUGUAGUAUAUUGUAAGUAAUCAGCUUAAGAAAAUGCACUCAUUCACUAGCUCUCUCUCUCUUAUAUCCAUCCAUCCAUCCAUCUAUCUAUCUAUCUAUCUAUCUAUCUAUCUGGAGCAAUAGGUUAUAUAAAGAAAAGUACAAACAAAAGCAUUUUCUAUAUAUGGGUUCAUAGUUUGAAUUUAAAGAUAACGAUGAAGGAAACCUUUACGUGCAAUCAACUCUCAAAGAAAAUCUAUAUUACGCUUAUAAAGCAAUAUGAAAGUAUAUUUAAUAUUACUGUAAAACAUCAAUAGGAUUUAUGGUAUGGAGGAAAUCUGUAUUAUACGGAUAGAGAAAAAAAAAAACGAAAUUCUUGCAUUUAAGGAAAUAAGUAUUCUUUUAGAGAAGCGGAUAAGAAUGCUCCUUAGGCAAAUUACUCAACAUUUGCAUUUCAUUCAAUUGAAGAGUGUUCCUCGAAUACGGCAAACUUGUAAGAACAUUGACUUUAUGAAGAGAGUUUGGUUUUCUUUCCUUUAUCACACAGAUCUUUCAGCACCGGUUGCUCAGUGCACCUCAAGCUCAAGCUCAAGCUCAAACUCAAAGUGAACAUCUAAUGUGUGUGUGUGUGUGUGUGUGUGUGCUAGAAGGAGAAACCUUCAAAAGAUACUUCUAGACCGGAUCAGCAUCAUGGUCCCGUUUACUGAAACCAACACCCCCGGGCGAACCACCGGUAAGCGUUAUAUCGUGGGGGCUGACUGCGGUUUUAUAUUCCACUUCCCUGCCUCUCCAACUGCCGUAAUUCAUGCAGCAUCUUUGUCGCAUAUUUAUGUAAGUGGUAUGAGCGACAAACAAUGAAUUGAAUCUGAAAUGUCCAACAUUAUGUAGAAGUUGAAAAACCUGAUCCGAGAGCCACAAAGCUGCCCUCUAUUAUUAUUAUUAAUAUUUUUAUCUCGAGCCAAACUAAUCAACAAUAAUGUUAAAGGCAUCCAGAGACAAUCAAUUAUUUGCAAAAAAUUUGU